rnacentral:lncRNA from 1 species
UCUUAAAAGGAAAAAAUAAUGCUUAAUCAUUAAGGUUUUUAAAUUUAAAUUUUUGGUAUUGUGGCAAACAUGUAUCAACUUUCACAUGAAUGAUUACCUGUUAAGUCUAUACAAAGUAUGGAAUAGAUAAAAACAUAUUGCCCCACAAGUCCUUUGCUCAAUGACUAAGUGUGAGCUUCCUCAUUUCUUAACCUCUUCAAAAAAACUCCUUUUAAAU